rnacentral:tRNA from 1 species
GGCCCCAUCGUCUAAUGGUUAGGACUCGAGAUUUUCAUUCUCGUAAUGGGAGUUCGAUCCUCCCUGGGGUCA